rnacentral:tRNA from 1 species
AUUUGUAUAGUCUAUAGACUAGGUCAUAACACUGAAGAUGUUAAGGAGGUUGUUUCAACCUACAAAUA